rnacentral:rRNA from 1 species
UACAGAGGUGGCAAGCGUUGUUCGGAAUUACUGGGCGUAAAGGGCGCGUAGGCGGCCAUCUAAGUCAGACGUGAAAUCCCCCGGCUUAACCUGGGAACUGCGUCUGAUACUGGAAGGCUUGAGUAUGGGAGAGGGAUGUAGAAUUCCAGGUGUAGCGGUGAAAUUCGUAGAUAUCGAGAGGAACACCUGUGGCGAAGGCGGCCUUCUGGACGACAACUGACGCUGAGACGCGAAAGCGUGGGGAGCAAACAGG